GACUUUGGUGUUUCGUUUUCGUGCCUCCUUAAAAGCAGGCCACGCUCGUGACGAAAAUAGAGUGUGGCCCAUAAAUUCGAUGCGAUUGAUAUUGCAGCGACGAGCUCAUUAAGGCAUUUUUCUCAAACAAUUCAUUCGUUUCAUCGAGUUUUUCGUGUCAAAUUUUCCACAAAACUCACUCAUUUCGUGCACUACUUUCACCUUUAUCAACAUUCGAAAAAAACGUCUCAUCCAGUGAGAGAGUCGUUGCGAAACAAAAUGGUGGUUAACCGGGAUCGCGAAAUGGGGGAGGAAGCCACAAGACGCUGAAGCUUCGGCGUCCGUUGGAAGCUUCAGGCUUUUGACGAAGAUCGGCGAAGGGCGAAAGCGACCUCUGGACAUGGUCGAGGCGCCUCACGACUGAUGGUUUAUCUCAAAAGCAGGGAAGAAUCAACUCACUAGUGAUGAGCGAUCUGCAGCUUACCUUUCCAGUAGAGAAUGCGCCAGCAGACGGGAGCGCGGAAGUAGAAGAGAUCGAGGAAAAAGUUCCAGGUGGAGCGGGUGCAGAACGCGAGAACGUGGGAAAGAGAAGUUUGCGCGAGGCGUAGAACGCCCCACACGCUACAACAACAUGCGCGCCUACUGGUAUCGGGACGUUCAUCAAAAAAGAGAAGAAAAAAACUAAUAAACGAGAGAAAAAGAAAACGUUCGAUUCACCCGGUUUUUUCAGCGCUGACCGAUCCCUGCGUGGGUCUUUGUUAUUGUGUAAAAUAUUUAAUAUCGGUAUACAAAUUGUGCGAGUCUUUGUUGUAUUAGUGGGGCAAAGAAUAAACACGAGUUUGUUA